GUUUAAGUCCUUUUCCUACAUUGAGACAGAAGUUUAAUGCUUGUUCUCCUCUUUAUAUGGAUUGCAAGUUUGGCUUUUCUGUUACAGAU
rfam:Cucumis sativus cultivar 9930 chromosome 7, whole genome shotgun sequence.